rnacentral:lncRNA from 13 species
GUGAGAGAAAGACAAGAAAUAAGGAAGACUUCAAGAUUUUUGGUCUGAGCCCUUUGAAGGAUGUAUUGCCAUUGACCAGGAUGGAGAAGGCUGUAGAUGGAAGUGGGUUUUGGAGUAGAAGAAACAGGGUUUUGCCAUGUUGCCUAUGCUGGUCUUGAACUCCUGGACUCAAGCAAUCUGUCCGAUUCAGCCUCCCAAAGUGCUGGGAUUACAGCUCUUAGAGAACUUUGUAAUUGAAAAGACAGAAUCGUAGAACAGGGUCCCAGCAGACUCUUCAAAAGAAGUUUCCAAACCUCCCUGUGGUAUGAAGACAAACAUUAGACAAUCUAUGAUUUUCCAGCCUGCUGCUGUUCAGAUUUUGAAUAAAUGACCAAAUUGAGCUUUGUUUUUUAAUUAA